rnacentral:rRNA from 1 species
GAACGCUGAAGGAGGAGCUUGCUCUUCUGGAUGAGUUGCGAACGGGUGAGUAACGCGUAGGUAACCUGCCUGGUAGCGGGGGAUAACUAUUGGAAACGAUAGCUAAUACCGCAUAAUAGUAGAUGUUGCAUGACAUUUGCUUAAAAGGUGCAAUUGCAUCACUACCAGAUGGACCUGCGUUGUAUUAGCUAGUUGGUGGGGUAACGGCUCACCAAGGCGACGAUACAUAGCCGACCUGAGGGGGUGAUCGGCCACACUGGGACUGAGACACGGCCCAGACUCCUACGGGAGGCAGCAGUAGGGAAUCUUCGGCAAUGGACGGAAGUCUGACCGAGCAACGCCGCGUGAGUGAAGAAGGUUUUCGGAUCGUAAAGCUCUGUUGUAAGAGAAGAACGAGUGUGAGAGUGGAAAGUUCACACUGUGACGGUAUCCUACCAGAAAGGGACGGCUAACUACGUGCCAGCAGCCGCGGUAAUACGUAGGUCCCGAGCGUUGUCCGGAUUUAUUGGGCGUAAAGCGAGCGCAGGCGGUUAGAUAAGUCUGAAGUUAAAGGCUGUGGCUUAACCAUAGUACGCUUUGGAAACUGUUUAACUUGAGUGCAAGAGGGGAGAGUGGAAUUCCAUGUGUAGCGGUGAAAUGCGUAGAUAUAUGGAGGAACACCGGUGGCGAAAGCGG